UACGUAGGGGGCAAGCGUUGUCCGGAUUUAUUGGGCGUAAAGAGCGUGUAGGCGGCCAGACAGGUCAGCUGUGAAAACUCGAGGCUCAACCUCGAGACGUCGGUUGAAACCGUCUGGCUAGAGUCCGGAAGAGGAGAGUGGAAUUCCCGGUGUAGCGGUGAAAUGCGCAGAUAUCGGGAAGAACACCCGUGGCGAAGGCGGCUCUCUGGGACGGUACUGACGCUGAGACGCGAAAGCCAGGGGAGCAAACGGG
rnacentral:rRNA from 1 species